rnacentral:rRNA from 1 species
AACGAACGCUGGCGGCGUGCCUAACACAUGCAAGUCGAACGAGAACGUCGGGUCUAGUGGCGCACGGGGGCGUAACGCGGGGGAAGCUGCCCGUGGGUUCGGAAUAACUCCCCGAAGGGGGAGCUAAUACAGGAUAAGGUCAUCGGACCAAGGAUUUAUCGCCUUUGGAUGGGCCCGCGAUGGCUUAGCUAGUUGGUAGGGUAAAAGCCUACCAAGGCGACGUUCCAUGGCUGGUCGGGGAGCAUGCCCCGUCACACUGGGGCUGCGACACGGCCCAGACGCCUACGGGGGGCUGCAGUGGGGAGUAUUGGGCGCGGGGCCAUAGUGUGGCCCCGCCGCGCCGCGGGUGUGGUCCUGGCGUUAGUGUUGUAAAGCUCUUUUUCCCGAGAUGUUAAUGACGGUACCGGGUGAAUAAGCUCCGGCUAACUCCGUG